UCAAAAUGAAAUAUUCUCUAUUAGACAGAACAUAACAUUAGCUACCUUAGCUGGACUAGGUGGUACAGAAUCUGAUUCCACUGGCAUGUGCUUCCAAACCUUAGCUCUGCACAAGGUGAAGGUGAUCUGGAGACCUUCCACAGUGCCCUGCUGAAAAAUACCCCAUAACGGUGGGGUCUUUGUUCGAAACAUCGUCAUCUAUUUGUUCGAAACAUCGUCAUCUCCUGGCAGCAUUUACCCUCCAGCUUCACAAGCUUGAAAACCACAUUCAGAAAAACUUUAACAGAAUUCAUUUUUUUCCCUAUUUUUUUUUCGUUUUGGAGUCAGAGUUUCAGUAUAGUUUGUUUUUCAAAA
rnacentral:lncRNA from 1 species